ACACCUUCUAAAGUACAUAUACUAAAGUUGGAGUGAUAAAGAGAAAAUUAGCAUGGCCCUUGCGCAAGGGCCUCACGCGCAAAUCGUGAAGCGUUCAACAUACGU
rnacentral:snRNA from 1 species